rnacentral:rRNA from 1 species
CAAUAGCGUAUAUUAAAGUUGUUGCGGUUAAAAAGCUCGUAGUUGGAUUUCUGUUGGGAACGACCGGUCCGCCCAUUGGGUGUGUAUCUGGCUUGUUCUCGGCAUCUUCUUGGUGAACGUUGCUGCACUUGACUGUGUGGAGCGCUACCCAGGACAUUUACUUUGAGGAAAUUAGAGUGUUUCAAGCAGGCAUAUGCCUUGAAUACAUUAGCAUGGAAUAAUAAGAUAGGACCUCGGUUCUAUUUUGUUGGUUUCUAGAGCUGAGGUAAUGAUUAAUAGGGAUAGUUGGGGGCAUUCGUAUUUAACUGUCAGGGGUGAAAUUCUUGGAUUUGUUAAAGACGGACUACUGCGAAAGCAUUUGCCAAGGAUGUUUUCAUUGA